UAGUCCUGCCUCCAGACCAUCCUGAACGGUUCUGGCAGCUGUAAGUCACAGGCAAAGUGGGACAGAACUCCUGGGUGUAUUUGGCCUCUGUGAGAGCAGGAUUCUGACACCAAUUCCAAUGUGUGUAUUUAUUCCACACCACCAAGCAGUUCUCCAACAUUAACUGGGAGUCUGACAAUUCAACUCAAUUCUGAAACUACCUGGAGACAGCAUCAGAUCCACUGCCUGCCUUGAAAUCAGCCAGCCGCUUUUGGGGAGCUGCUAUCCCCAUAACCCUGAGGAAUGGGGGAUGGUGGCUGGUUCAAGCCCCACUCUUCCUUCAUCAAGUACUUUCCUUGUUGUCUGAUCGGAUACCAGAGUUCUGAAAUAGUUGCUUAAUGGUUACCAUUUUCUCCUCACUCUAGCCCCUGGCAACUUAUAUUAUAUUCUACUUCGGUCUCUACGAA